rnacentral:rRNA from 1 species
UACAGAGGGUGCGAGCGUUACUCGGAAUUACUGGGCGUAAAGCGUGCGCAGGCGGUUUUGUAAGCCAGAUGUGAAAUCCCCGGGCUUAACCUGGGAAUGGCAUUUGGGACUGCAAGGCUGGAGUUUGGCAGAGGAGACUGGAAUUCCCGGUGUAGCAGUGAAAUGCGUAGAUAUCGGGAGGAACAUCAGUGGCGAAGGCGGCUGCCUGGCCCAAUACUGACACUCAGGUGCGACAGCGUGGGGAGCAAACAGG